GUCAGGAUGGCCGAAUGGUCUAAGGCGCCAGACUCAAGUUCUGGUCCACGUGACUGGUCCACGUGAGAGGGUGUGUUCAAAUCCCACUUCCGACG